rnacentral:snRNA from 1 species
CCUCUUGCACAUUGGCAGUAUCAUAGCCAAUGAGAUUUAUCCGAGGCACGAUUAUUGCCAAUUGAAAACUUUUCCCAAACCUCUCUGUGUACUCGCUUUGGUCAGCUCACCUACACCAGAUGGUG